GAUGAACGCUGGCGGCGUGCUUAACACAUGCAAGUCGAACGGAAAGGCCCAAGCUUGCUUGGGUACUCGAUUGGCGAACGGGUGAGUAACACGUGGGUGAUCUGCCCUUCACUUCGGGAUAAGCCUGGGAAACUGGGUCUAAUACCGGAUAGGACCACAUUUUGGAUGGUGUGGUGGAAAGUUUGUCGGUGUGGGAUGAGCUCGCGGCCUAUCAGCUUGUUGGUGGGAUAAUGGGCUACCAAGGUGUCGACGGGUAGCCGGCCUCUGAGGGUGUACGGCCGCAUUGAGACUGAGGGGCGGCCCAGAUACCGAAGGGAGGGAGCAGGGGGGAAUAUUGAACAAUGGGCGCAAGCCUGGUGCAGCGACGCUGCGGGGGGGAUGACGGCCUUAGGGUUGUAAAAUACUUUCGCUAGUGACGAAGCGUUAUGUGACGGUACCUGGAGAAGAAGCACCGGCUAACUACGUG
rnacentral:rRNA from 1 species